UCUUGUCUCUUUUCUUUCACCAGCAGCAGGUAGUCCUCCUCGCACCCCUGCGUUGUAUGCCCCGCUGGUCGGGACAUAAACUGGCGCCCAACGUGGGGCUGGAGGCACGGAACAGCGCUGUUGGCACCUACUCGGAAGACGCCCCGGCCGGGCACCCCCUGAGCCCAAGAGCUCGCUUGGAGCCCGUGAGCCAUCAGCCCACGGGAUAAGACUCCGCGUUGAUCGUCGCUGGAUUGGCCGCCCCAGCAGACAUCGGAACGGCAAUGAAGCUCUGCCUCUUUAUCCUCCUCAUAUGCUCCUCCUGCGCAUACGCCGGCUUCGGACCCCCGCCAAAUCCGCAGGAACUCAUAAGACUCCUCUAUGGGAACCCCUGUGACUGCGGUGGAGGUACGACCACGAUUACCCCCUCCUCUUAUACUAAAACAAUUGACUGCUCCUCAAAAAUAGCCUACCUAGCCUAUAGUCAAACAUACUCAGGGAUUUCAGAACAACAAUGGACCUGUGUGUCCAAGCCCACAAUUAUUCCCUCCACACAGGGCCGUCCUGGGCCUUGUCCUAGCAGCUGUUUGAGUGCAGUCUACACAGCAAUCCAUUCAAGCUGCUACACCUCUGCUCAGUUAUGCACCCUUAAUAAUCAAACCUAUUACACUGCCAUCUUAGAAAGAAACUACCCUGGUACCUUUGGCAGUAUCUUAGAUGGAGAAAAAUAUGCUCAGGCAUCUUGCUUGGGAACUGUUGGAAAGGACGUAUGCUGGCACACCGUUGCCCCAAUUCAUAUAUCGGACGGUGGGGGCCCCAGCGACAUUCAAAAACAAUCCCAAGUCGCUCACCGCCUAGAGGAACUUGCCUGACGCCUAUAUCCUCUCUUAGAUUAUCAUCCACUUGCUCUCCCCAAACCCAGAGAUAUUGCUCUAGACCCACAGACACAAAAUAUUCUCAAAGCCACAUUCUCUCUAUUAAAUGCCACUAAUCCCUCCCUUGCACAAGAUUGCUGGCUAUGCGUGACCUCUGGAACGCCCUUGCUUACCGCGAUCCCCACCUAUAACGUUUCCUACAUCCCCCUUGACGAUAGGACCAAUUGUUCAUUCUCCCCCCCUUUCAGAGUGCAACCUUCAGGCUUUAAUUCCUCCGGUUGCCUCCAAAGACCAUUUCAAAAUAACUCUUACGAUGUUGAGGUUGGAUUUAUUACCUUCUCUAACUGCCAUACCAUAACCAACAUCUCCACCCCUGUUUGCUCUCCUCCGGGUCAGGUAUUUGUCUGUGGGGGCAACCUCGCCUACACUGUACUCCCUACCAAUUGGACAGGCCUCUGCAUUUUAGCGAGCCUCCUCCCUGACAUCUCCAUUAUCCCCGGGGAGGAACCUGUUCCCCUCCCUAGUUUUGACCUUGUGGCGGGACAUCACCGACGCGCCCUCCACUUCAUUCCCUUGCUUAUAGGUUUGGGUAUAGCAACU